AUUGAACGCUGGCGGCAGGCCUAACACAUGCAAGUCGAGCGGAUGAGUGGAGCUUGCUCCAUGAUUCAGCGGCGGACGGGUGAGUAAUGCCUAGGAAUCUGCCUGGUAGUGGGGGACAACGUUUCGAAAGGAACGCUAAUACCGCAUACGUCCUACGGGAGAAAGCAGGGGACCUUCGGGCCUUGCGCUAUCAGAUGAGCCUAGGUCGGAUUAGCUAGUUGGUGAGGUAAAGGCUCACCAAGGCGACGAUCCGUAACUGGUCUGAGAGGAUGAUCAGUCACACUGGAACUGAGACACGGUCCAGACUCCUACGGGAGGCAGCAGUGGGGAAUAUUGGACAAUGGGCGAAAGCCUGAUCCAGCCAUGCCGCGUGUGUGAAGAAGGUCUUCGGAUUGUAAAGCGCUUUAAGUUGGGAGGAAGGGCAGUAAGUUAAUACCUUGCUGUUUUGACGUUACCGACAGAAUAAGCACCGGCUAACUUCGUGCCAGCCGCCGCAGUAACAC
rnacentral:rRNA from 1 species